CUCUAUAUGACUGAAAAAAGUAUUGAUCUUUUAAAUCAAAUUAUGAUAUUUAAUUAUCUAUAGUGA
rnacentral:tRNA from 1 species